GGGCUUUGGUUGUAUAUAUAGAAUGUUAUUAGACAGCUGGUCAAAUAGUUGUAUGAUCGGAUGAUCCCAAGAUUGCAGGAUCGUUGCACAUACUAUUAUAGGCGAGAUAAUCCAGCCCUUAAUCGCUCCCGUGGAGUGAGGAGGCCGUUAUUGGCAAUAUACUGAGUGGAGGAUUUGAAUAUCCUUAAAGAUCAUGUCUAAUCUUUUGACC
rnacentral:lncRNA from 1 species